rnacentral:lncRNA from 1 species
AAAAUUGUCCAAAAUAUUUGAUGCACUAUACCCAACCUAAACCCUAUCUGGAGCUGAACCGGAUUCGAUAAAAAAUAGAUAGUAUGCAGGUAAAAAAAUUACCCAUUAAAGUUUCGGAUAUGGGUCCGGAUAUUUUUUACCCAUACCCGAUUUAGACUCGAUCCGAACCCAACUUUUAAAUGGAUAGGGUUGGGAAUAGUUUUCAAUUCCGGACCUGGACCCGAUGAAAUAUUCCAUAGUAAAUAAAAAAUAUUUGAACUUUUGAAGUUGAUGCAUCAAUUUUAAUAGGACUUAUAGAUGAGAGAUCUCUAAGGCUUCAUUUGGUUCGGAUAUAAGUAAGAACUGUCUAUUUCAGGGAUAGGUAUAUGUUCAGGUAUAAACAAAAAUUAGACAAAUUUUACAUUUUGUUGAAAAUUGAGUUAUUUCCGGGAAUAAGAAAAAUAGCAUUUGGAUUUUGGAUAAAUAAGAUGGAAUAAGAAGAAUAUUAGGAAGUUAUAAAUAGAAAAUAAUGAUAUUGCCCGUUAUAUUAUAUUUGAAUUUAAAUUUUUAAAUUAUAUAUUUAAAUUUUAAAUUUAAAUAUAUAACUUUUAAAUUUUAUAAAUUCAAAUUUUAAAUUUAAAUUUUUAAAUCUCAAAUUUGAAAAUCCAAUUUUCUAAACUUUAAAUUUUAAAUUUAAGAUUAAAUUUAAAUUUAAAAAUCUAAAAUAUCAAAUUUUGAAUUUAAUUUAAAAUAUCAAUUUAAAAUUUAAAUUUUAAAUUUUAAAAUUUAGAAUUUAAAACUAUAAAAUUUUUAUUUAAAUUUUUUAAAAAUUAAAUAAAGAUGGGAACAGCUAUUGCCACUCUUAUUCCAAGGGAACCCCACCUCUAACGGGUUAUAGACCGUUAUGGGUGGGGUUAGCAAUCUCCAGCCCCAAAAAUCUCAUUUGGGGAUAAGGGCAGAUAACCCCCUUAUCCCCCUAAUCCCCAUUUGGGGAUAAGGGGAUAACCCCUUAUCUUUCCUAAUCUCCCAACCAAACGCUAUGUAAGUGUUUUCAUCCUAGUAAAACACUGAAAUCCUAACCGCUCUUUUACUCUUUUCUUUUUUCUAAUUUUUUUACUCUUUGUUUUUUAUUUUUUGUUUUUUUUUCAUUUUCUUCUAAGAGUUUUUUAUGAAACAAUAUUUCCAUCAUCAUCAUCAGCGAUAUUAAUACGUGGGACAAGUAAGUUUUCUUUUCAAAUCCAUUUUCCAAUCAUAGUCAACAACCUAAUUUUUUUUUCAAUAAAUAUUCUAUUUAGUAAAUUUUAUAAUCCCGCUUUAUUUUUUUUCUCUUUUUUUGAAUGUUAGUACAUAAUAUUAGUAAUUACUACAACUUAUAUUCUCUUUUUAUCUAUAAUAUGGUAUCAUAAUUUUUUUAUUUUUUAUAUUUACAUAAGAAAUUGUUUUGAAUUUUAGGCUUUUAAUCAAUCAAUAUAAUGGCCGAAACAAGCUCUGUCCAGACAAUUUAAUAAAGUCUAUAAAAAUAUAUAUGUAUACGGGUACCCGUACCUGAUUUAGACACGACGUGCACCUGGUCUUGAACGGAUAGUCGCUAUCCAAACCCGCUCAAAUAGACCCGAUGGGUAUAUUAGUAACUUAAGUAUCGAGAUCCGGAUCCGACCCAAAGUUAAUUGGAUAAGGUUUUUUUUUUUCUAACUAUUUCUUUUUAGAGUACGGAUACAGUAUAUCAACUAUCCAGAUCCGACCCAGUCCACGGACACCUAUAAUUCGUAGAUAUUAUUUGAUCGUGUUGUUU